CAGGCAGGGGCGUAAUAGGGGCAGCACCCAGGGCGGGAAAGGGGGAGCCGGAGGUGGGGCUGGGUGAGGAAAUCUUGUGGCUGGAGUGCCCUGUGGAGCAGGAUCCCUUGCUGGCUCCGUCUCAGCUGAAUACAGGGGAUGGCCCAAGAGACGUGCUGGGAGAGGGCAGGGGGCUGCGGGUCACAUCUCGGCCACCGCAAUCUUUAGACCCACGUGGAGGUGAAGGAGCUGGUGUUCUCCGAGAUGGCUGGCUGUUGCCGAAAAAUGUCAGGCCUGACAAUAUAAUCCACAGCAAAGAGAAGACCCAGCCUAACCGAUCCCUAGAGGUCCCCCAGUUUGGGGGUCCCUGUUAGGGCGCCACUUGUCGCAGUCGGCUCUCGCUGUGAUCCAGAACUGGUCCGGCCGGGCAGUGUGGCCAAUAGAGGGACAGGUAUGAUUGAGUGCUCACAGAGACCACAUGGUCCCAGGGGCUGCUUCCAAAGACCCAGGGGUAUGGUGAGCUUCACAAUGUAAAGGGGUAUCUUGAGGGCAGGGGUCCAAUCGCUAAUGUGGACCAGGGACAUGACCUAUUAUGGAAUGACUCCAUCAGCAUCCCCCCAGCAUCCUGCCUCCCAAGGCCUCAGGUUAAUUCCUUCUGUGCCAGGACCCCUGUCCAAGGUAUGACCUAUCUCAGGUAAUUCAAUUCCCAUCGUUUGUGUCUUAGGACUUUAAUCUAAAAGACUUAAGGCUGUACAACACUUGAGGGUUAAUUAGAAGCACUGUCUUGAGUCACUGGUCCUUUGAGAUGUACUUGUCAUUGAAUAUGCAGCAUUUGCAUUUAAAGUUAGGGGGUUUUGUUUGUUUGAUGUUUACCGCCUAGGCUGUACCCCCUUAAACCAGUUAAAUUAUUAUCUUUUGUGUGUAUUUCCAAGUUGUUUGCAGGGUGUGCUCUUUAUCUUCUCUAUAGUUUAGCUGAGAAGGUACUUUAAAGGACUGGCUUGUAUUACAUUUUACAACUGAUCACUGUUUCUGUGUUUUGUGAAGACAGAUCGAGGUGAAUUCAAUCAUUUUAUUCAGUGAAUAAUGCUAUGUCAUGAUACAGACAGUCUUUCUGAUGGCUAUGCCUUGAUUUCAGUGUGCACAGUUACUGGUAGGUAUCUCCAACAUAAUCUGCACAAUUUACUAUCAGGCUUUGCUUUAGUUAGUAUUGGGGAUAUUUUUUUGUGAUUUUUUGUGCUAUUUUUGUUAUGCUGUCCUUUUGUCUUUUGCAGAAAAGAGGAAUGCUACACUGUCUUACUAAUGAGAAUGAAGAAACAUUCAUUCUGAAAAUUCGUAAGACUUUUGGGAUUUCCAAGUGUUGUUUUUACACAACUUGCUACUACAGCGCUCCUAAAUAACAACAAAUAAACAGCUCUGUGAAUUACA
rnacentral:lncRNA from 1 species